rnacentral:rRNA from 1 species
GGAAUCUUAGACAAUGGGCGCAAGCCUGAUCUAGCCAUGCCGCGUGAGUGAAGAAGGCCUUAGGGUCGUAAAGCUCUUUCGCCAGGGAUGAUAAUGACAGUACCUGGUAAAGAAGCCCCGGCUAACUCCGUGCCAGCAGCCGCGGUAAUACGGAGGGGGUUAGCGUUGUUCGGAAUUACUGGGCGUAAAGCGCGCGUAGGCGGAUUGGUAAGUUGGGGGUGAAAUCCCGGGGCUCAACCCCGGAACUGCCUCCAAAACUCCCAGUCUUGAGUUCGAGAGAGGUGAGUGGAAUUCCGAGUGUAGAGGUGAAAUUCGUAGAUAUUCGGAAGAACACCAGUGGCGAAGGCGACUCACUGGACAGGUAUUGACGCUGAGGUGCGAAAGCGUGGGGAGCA